rnacentral:rRNA from 1 species
GACGAACGCUGGCGGCGUGCUUAACACAUGCAAGUCGAGCGGUAAGGCCCUUUCGGGGGUACACGAGCGGCGAACGGGUGAGUAACACGUGGGUGACCUGCCCUCAGCUCUGGGAUAAGCCUGGGAAACCGGGUCUAAUACUGGAUAUGACUCCAUGACGCAUGUUGUGGGGUGGAAAGCCUUGUGCGGCUGAGGAUGGGCCCGCGGCCUAUCAGCUUUGUUGGGUGGGGGUGACGGCCUACCAAGGCGACGACGGGUAGCCGGCCUGAGAGGGCGACCGGCCACACUGGGACUGAGACACGGCCCAGACUCCUACGGGGAGGCAGCAGUGGGGAAUCUUGCGCAAUGGGCGAAAGCCUGACGCAGCGACGCCGCGUGAGGGAUGACGGCC